AUGCCCCUUCUCUUUGCCAUUGCUUUCUUUAUAUAUUUCAGUUUUUUUUCUCCUGGAAGAUCCUGGAAAGUCAGAUCCUGAAGACCAAGCUACAAGAACUCCAAAGCAAAAAGAAGGAUGGAGAUGUGGAUCACCACGCUGAUGCAUAUCGGGUUUGUUGUUCCCAUUUUGUUUUGGGUUCACAAAUCUCUUUGAGUCAUUGUAACCCCUUUGUUACCCACACAUGCCAUCAUUUCAGAAUAAAAUGAAGCCGCCUCCAUUCCCUUGAAUGAUACAGAGUGAUCCGAAUUGAUUUGGAAGCUUAUUCACACUGCUGAAGAUGCAGAUCGGUUCAGAUCUUUCAGGAAAACUCAGGAAAAAACCCAGUAUAGAAUAUUCCGGGUUAAGGGGGGGGUUACUAACCCCCCCCCCCCCCAAGUGCAUCAGGUGCAUCAAUUGCUUUCAGGACAUGUGUGAACAACAAGGAUUCAACCUGGAUUCAUCCUGGAUACUUUUCGUAGUGUGAAUGGGGCCUAGAUUUGUACAAUUAUAUUGUUAUGGACACUCUGGCAUUCCAGACUAACACCGAAUGAAAACCUCAUGGAAAACAGGUUAUUACCUGGAUGUCUGUUGUACUUGUAACUGACAAUUUUUCAACUGUUCCCUAACUUACUGUAUAGUGCUGUCUAUUGCCCUCUGUUUACAUAUACUGUGUGUGUACAACUGGUUGGCAUUUAUGUGAUUUUCUCUAUAAACACGUAAAAUAUUUGA